rnacentral:rRNA from 1 species
UACGUAGGGGGCAAGCGUUGUCCGGAAUUAUUGGGCGUAAAGAGCGCGUAGGCGGUCCGGUAAGUCGGUUGUGAAAGUCGGGGGCUCAACCCUCGGAUGCCGAUCGAUACUGUCGGGCUAGAGUCCGGAAGAGGCGAGUGGAAUUCCUGGUGUAGCGGCGAAAUGCGCAGAUAUCAGGAGGAACACCAAUGGCGAAGGCAGCUCGCUGGGACGGUACUGACGCUGAGGCGCGAAAGCGUGGGGAGCAAACGGG